CUGGUCCUCACAGAAUUCAUUCAAAAUAGCUGAAAUUAAUAUUUGGAUUUGUUUUUGCUGAAAUUACUGUUGAUAAAAACAUAUUAAUUAAAAAUAUUAAAAAUGUAGAUAAUAGUCACUGGCCUUAUCAGUGGCUUUGAAAACACGAUCACUUUUUUAUGGAUCUUCCGUCAUCCACUGAAUUUGUCAAUAUUUUCAUUUCUUUUUCAAAGGGUAUAAUUCCAUUAUUCUAAUUUAUUUUAUGUUUCGGCAGAAAAGAGGCAGCUGACAGAAGGAAAUUGGUGAGCAAAUGGCAUCCUACAACAAAGGGAACCCUUAAAAGAACUGUAGGGUGCCCUCCAAAUCUGAAGGAAGACGCCUUCUUAAAGCAAUUGCAUCAUUACUAUCUGAUGAUGAUCACUUUACCGACGCCACUUCCCACAAGAGUUGUCAAAUUAGGAGAGAGGGUGCUCAUGGUGAAAGUGUGUGCUGCAACAAUGUAAGGGCUCUGUUUGAUGAACUCCCAACCGCAUACCUGGUUGUGGAAAUCACUGAUUUUCCUGCUGGUCCUCUCACAGUUUCAAGUCUGAGAAAUUAGAGAGAGUGCUUAGAUCUGGCCCUCCCAACUUAAUAUUCUUCAGAAUCUUGUUGUCUCCAUUUGUACAUAGGAAUCAACAAAUUGCAAAUGUAAUCUUCUGCUUUUAUUCUCU